rnacentral:rRNA from 1 species
GACGAACGCUGGCGGCGUGCUUAACACAUGCAAGUCGAACGGUAAGGCCCUUCGGGGUACACGAGUGGCGAACGGGUGAGUAACACGUGGGUGAUCUGCCCUGCACUUCGGGAUAAGCCUGGGAAACUGGGUCUAAUACCGGAUAGGACCACUGCCUGCAUGGGUGGUGGUGGAAAGCUUUUGCGGUGUGGGAUGGGCCCGCGGCCUAUCAGCUUGUUGGUGGGGUGAUGGCCUACCAAGGCGACGACGGGUAGCCGGCCUGAGAGGGUGACCGGCCACACUGGGACUGAGAUACGGCCCAGACUCCUACAGGAGGCAGCAGUGGGGAAUAUUGCACAAUGGGCGCAAGCCUGAUGCAGCGACGCCGCGUGAGGGAUGACGGCCUUCGGGUUGUAAACCUCUUUCAGCACCGACGAAGCGCAAGUGACGGUAGGCGCAGAAGAAGGACCGGCCAACUACGUGCCAGCAGCCGCCGCAG